rnacentral:rRNA from 1 species
CCUGACACAGGGAGGUAGUGACAAGAAAUAACAAUACAGGGCAAUUGUCUUGUAAUUGGAAUGAUGGUGACGUAAAAUCUCACCAGAGUAACAAUUGGAGGGCAAGUCUGGUGCCAGCAGCCGCGGUAAUUCCAGCUCCAAUAGCGUAUAUUAAACUUGUUGCAGUUAAAAAGCUCGUAGUUGAAUUUCUGCGUUGCCCGACUCGGCUACUUGCCUUGUCUGGUUUCGCUUUUGGGGUUUUCCCCUUUUUACUUUGAGAAAAUUAGAGUGUUUCAAGCAGACUUGUGUCUUGAAUACUUCAGCAUGGAAUAAUAAAGUAGGACUUUGGUUCUAUUUUGUUGGUUUGUGAACCUUAGUAAUGGUUAAUAGGAACGGUUGGGGGCAUUCGUAUUUAA